GACGAACGCUGGCGGCGUGCCUAAUACAUGCAAGUCGAGCGCAGGAAACCAGAUGGCCCCUUCGGGGUGAUUCUGGUGGAAUGAGCGGCGGACGGGUGAGUAACACGUGGGCAACCUGCCUGUAAGACUGGGAUAACUUCGGGAAACCGGAGCUAAUACCGGAUAGUAUUUCCUUUCUCCUGAUUGGAAAUGGAAAGACGGUUUCGGCUGUCACUUACAGAUGGGCCCGCGGUGCAUUAGCUAGUUGGUGGGGUAAUGGCCCACCAAGGCGACGAUGCAUAGCCGACCUGAGAGGGUGGUCGGCCACACUGGGACUGAGACACGGCCCAGACUCCUACGGGAGGCAGCAGUAGGGAAUCUUCCGCAAUGGACGAAAGUCUGACGGAGCAACGCCGCGUGAGCGAUGAAGGCCUUCGGGUCGUAAAGCUCUGUUGUUAGGGAAGAACAAGUACGAGAGUAACUGCUCGUACCUUGACGGUACCUAACCAGAAAGCCCCGGCUAACUACGUGCCAGCCGCCGCAGUAA
rnacentral:rRNA from 1 species